UACUGGGCGCCGGCUUCGCCAUCUGUACCCAGUCCCCCAAGGGAGUAGGUAUGGGCAUGGCGGGUGGUGGUGGUGGGUGGCAUCAGAGGGGCACCAGCCAAAGGGUGUGGCUACCUCGCCGCUGGUCCCCAGGCCCGGGAGGUGGGGAGCACACACGGUGUCCUGGGAGGCAGGGAGCACACAUAGUGCCUUGGGUACCCAGUUGGGUGUUCUCCCGCUGCAGAGGAGACGGCAGCCUGGGUCCUGCCCUUCACCUCUGGCGGCUUUCUCUACAUCGCCUUGGUGAACGUGCUCCCUGACCUCUUGGAAGAAGAGGACCCGUGGCGCUCCCUGCAGCAGCUGCUUCUGCUCUGUGCGGGCAUCGUGGUGAUGGUGCUGUUCUCGCUCUUUGUGGAUUAACCUUCCCUGAUGCCCUGACGCCCCUGCCCCCUGCAGCAAUAAGAUGCUCGGAUUCACUCUGUGACCACAUAUG
rnacentral:sRNA from 1 species